rnacentral:lncRNA from 1 species
UUUACAGCACUCGUCAAUCUGCAUGGUGCAAGCCGCCGACCUCCCACUGCCGCCAUAGAUGUAAACUGGCGCAGGAGGGACCUUGUGGGGCAUGAAGGCAUUCACAACAUUGGCCCAGCACCCUGGUGUGUGUGUGUGUGUGUGUGUGUGUGUGUGUGUGUGUGUGUGUGUGUGUGUGUGUGUGUGUGUGUGUGUGUGUGUGUGUGUGUGUGUAAGUGCAUG